UACGUAGGGGGCAAGCGUUGUCCGGAUUUAUUGGGCGUAAAGAGCGUGUAGGCGGCCGCACAGGUCCGUUGUGAAAACUGGAGGCUUAACCUUCAGACGUCGAUGGAAACCGUGCGGCUAGAGUCCGGAAGAGGAGAGUGGAAUUCCUGGUGUAGCGGUGAAAUGCGCAGAUAUCAGGAAGAACACCCGUGGCGAAGGCGGCUUUCUGGGACGGUACUGACGCUGAGACGCGAAAGCGUGGGGAGCGAACAGG
rnacentral:rRNA from 1 species